AAGUAGGAUCCAAAUUAAAAAUUAAGUUAUUCCAUCGUUACAUCACCGUUUUCACAAAAUUACAUAGAGAGGAAAUUAACAUUUGGGGUCGGACUGGGUUAUUCGAAGGAGAUAAUGCAACGAUCCAAGCAUUUAAUUAGCAGGAAGACUGCUAUAUUUACGGCAGACGCUCCAGAUAUCUUGUAACCUAAGAGGCAUUCUAAUCUCGUGGAAUUUUAUCUGCGAUGUAACGACCUGUCGUUUGUCAGUGUGGCUCUCAGUGCGCGGCCAAAUCCCUUUUUCAUCUAAAUUCCUUCGUAACCGAUAAAUUUUCAACAUUCAUGCUGCUUGUUCAAAGACCGGUAGUAAUUUCUCUUUCACCGUCGUCAUUCAACCCCCGCAAAGUGGUUUGACAACUGUCUUAUCGCGUGGAAAAAACGCACUGUCGUCACAGAGAUAAUAAGAAACAAUAAAAACAUAAAUUUGAGUCGAUCAACCCUCGACACUUUACUAUCUAGUAAAAAAAAUCUUUCUCCAACUUUUUUUUUUAUUUUUUAAUCAACGACACAAAUCAAACUGACGUUUAAUAAAAUUUAUUCAAUGUGUUCACAGAUAAAUAAUGCCAGAAGAAAAACCUAUAAAGACGAUUUCACGAGAAAAAAAUCUUGAAAAUGGCCAAAGUGACUUCAACCAAAUAAAAAUCAAUUCAAGAACGAAUGAGAGGAUGGAAUAAAAACGGUGGGUGACAAACAGAGGAUCCGUAGUUUUUCGCGAGACGAAGCCUAAUAAAAACGUUAGGAACCUACCGUGAGGUGUUUUAAGUUUCAAGCCGGCUGGUGGCGCCAGGCUACGCUACAUUCUGUCCAGGGGUAGCGCAAAGCUCGGUCUAUACGCCGAUCUCGGUGUGGAGGGGAGGCUUGUGCCGGGAUAUCGCACACAGACACUGUAAAAUCAAAUUCUACACCGACUCACGUUUGUAGGGAUGGCGCAGCUCGAACUGGCCACCGAGCGGAAGGAGAGAAGGACUAUAGGGACACAAUGGAGGAGCGAGCGAGAUAAGUGGACGAGGAUGAACCGAUGGAGAGGGAUAGGUUGACCCUGCCAAGAGACCCGGUCAAGAGAGAGACAGUCGUAUCAGAGGAAAAGGGACAGCUACAAAGGUGUAAUUCGAUUCCGUUCUCAGAUAACAAAGCGAGCUGCGCAUAGAGUUAGAAAAGAAAAAGGAUGCGAAGCAGGUUGAUUGCGGGAGAAAGAUGCAAGGAGAGAGGGGUUGGCCGACCCUGAACAAGUGGACGAAUACCAAUCGCCAGUGAAUGACACCCGCCGUAUUCGACUGAAUUUUCAACGUGCCUGGGCUAUGCUGAAUUUUUCAACUCGGUGGAUAUUCUGAACGGACUUAUUAGAAGUUGGCCUAUACAUCGACAGAGAGAAUGGAUUAGAAGCUGUUUGACAGUGGAAAAGAGGAUUGUGGAGAAGGAUAUUGUGCAUGGCUCUUGAGGAUAUCGUUACGAAAAAUUUUAGAUCACCCUAGUACCCUAAUAAUAGGCAACCGGAUUGACAUAAUGGUAAACCGGGCGAACAGGUUUAAAUUAUAUGCAAAUUGCAUACGAUCUUCAAGCGAUAAAUAUCAUCGUCUUACCUUCGUUUCCAGCAUAGUUUCUUCUGGUGUUGUGGAAUAAUCGAGGUCAUUAUGCAUAAAUGACGUCUUCGAAUGGAUUAUCCAAUUCUUGGCAAGUUGAUUCAAGAUGUGUUUUCGGAUAGUGAUAACUGGGGCCAUAUCUCGACGAGGAAUGUGAAACCCCCUGUACGUAUACUGAAUGUAUCCUGAGUGUAUUUCUGUCCGGUAUACCUUCAGUAUACGUAACAGGAGGCUACACCGAGCUACGCUGGACUGUCAUCAUGGAUCUCGUUGAUGUCCACCGGUAAUCGUAAAUCCAUUUUAAACGGAUUACGAUGCGAUAGUUAUCUUUAUUACCAAUACGAUUUAAACCACUUGUGUACAUCAUCGUCUUGCAUAAAUUGAAAUCGUAACUUAUUAUGUUUAUUAUGUAUGUUGUACAUAUUUAUAUUCGACGACUGAAUUACAAUUCGAUUGUAUAUCUUGUUAAAACUAAUGGAACUUGUUAGGUUAUGUGUUUACUUGCUUGCGAGAGAAGGAAGUGAGGUUAAAAUAAAUGAACAAUCGAUGUU